CCUUACCUCUAGCCUGUGGGUUUUUCAGAGGCAUCUGGUGGGCCACUGUGUGAAACAGGAUGCUGGACUAGAUGGGCCUCCUUGGGCCUGACGCAGCAGGGCUGUUCUUAAGCGUGGGAGGAUCUGCCUGCUCAUCCGCUGACACAAUCUGCCCCUUUGUUCUUCUCCAUUCAGACAUGGCCACUGAAGGACUGUUCAAGCAAGGAGCUCACUUUUGGCAGUGGAGCAUCUAGAAGCACAAGACUUACAAGUUUGCAGUUUCAUCCCUGCAGUGUCACUCCAAGAGGAAAGCAGUGAGAAGGAAGAGGGAAGGAAGCUCUCUCCUCUGCCAACAGUGCUGUUGCAGCAGCAGCAAGCAGCAGCAGUGGAAGAUAGCACACAGGAGAACACCCCUAGCUGAGGCAACAACAGCCAUAAAGUGGGAAAGCCGUCCCUCAUCAAGCACAUUUUCCCACGCACACUCUUGAGAGGAACUGAUGCCCAAGUUAGCAAUGCACUAAAGAACCUAAAUUCUGCGUAUAUUUUGUGCCCGAGGGUGCAAAGAGAGUCUCAAAUGCAUACAAAGGUUCGUCAUUUUCAUAUGUCUAUGAGAAUUCUCACAUAUCUGGUAACACACAGCACUCUAUUUAGCCAGAAUGCUCAUUGGCAUUACAAAUGCCCUGCUGCUUCAGCCUUUUCGUCUGCAUUAAGAACAAUCAGAUGCAAACAAACAGCACAAGAGGCAUCCAAAGGAGAU